rnacentral:rRNA from 1 species
GUGAGGAAUUUUGCGCAAUGGCCGCAAGGCUGACGCAGCAACGCCGCGUGGGUGAAGAAGGCCUUCGGGUCGUAAAGCCCUGUCAGGUGGGAAGAACACCAUGGGGACGAAUAAGCUUCAUGGCUGACGGUACCACCAGAGGAAGCACCGGCUAACUCCGUGCCAGCAGCCGCGGUAAUACGGAGGGUGCGAGCGUUAUUCGGAAUUACUGGGCGUAAAGCGCGUGCAGGCGGUUUGGCAAGUCUGAUGUGAAAGCCCCGGGCUUAACCUGGGAAGUGCAUUGGAAACUGCCGGACUUGAGGACUGGAGAGGAAGGGGGAAUUCCCGGUGUAGAGGUGAAAUUCGUAGAGAUCGGGAGGAAUACCAGUGGCGAAGGCGCCCUUCUGGACGGUUACUGACGCUGAGACGCGAAAGCGUGGGGAGCAAACAGGAUUAGAUACCCUGGUAGUCC